UUUAUUGUUGGUUGUGAACCAAUUUACAUGUAAUAUAUUAUAUGUUUUGAUUGGUUGAUUUGAUUUCUAUCCGCUGCGAAUUAUGCAAAAAUGUUAUUUUGAUUAAAUAAAGAGCAUGACAGUUAUUAUGGUGUGAAGUAGUCGUGUGACACCCUUGAUUGCAUAUUUACUCUGAUUGAUAUGUUGUUAUUUUAAUUAUAUACUCGGGGUAUUUUAGAAGGGUGUUACAAC
rnacentral:lncRNA from 1 species